rnacentral:rRNA from 1 species
GACGAACGCUGGCGGCGUGCCUAAUACAUGCAAGUAGAACGCACAGUUUAUACCGUAGCUUGCUACACCAUAGACUGUGAGUUGCGAACGGGUGAGUAACGCGUAGGUAACCUGCCUGGUAGCGGGGGAUAACUAUUGGAAACGAUAGCUAAUACCGCAUAAUAUUAAUUAUUGCAUGAUAAUUAAUUGAAAGGUGCAAUUGCACCACUACCAGAUGGACCUGCGUUGUAUUAGCUAGUAGGUGAGGUAACGGCUCAACUAGGCGACGAUACAUAGCCGACCUGAGAGGGUGAGCGGCCAACCUGGGACUGAGACACGGCCCAGACUCCUACGGGAGGCAGCAGUAGGGAAUCUUCGGCAAUGGACGAAAGUCUGACCGAGCAACGCCGCGUGAGUGAAGAAGGUUUUCGGAUCGUAAAGCUCUGUUGUAAGAGAAGAACGGGUGUGAGAGUGGAAAGUUCACACUGUGACGGUAUCUUACCAGAAAGGGACGGCUAACUACGUG